GACCGGCGCUGAUAACAUUAGACGUUAAGAAAUCAUUUCCCAUGCAUUCAUUUUGUAGAAAAUACAAUUAGUUUUUUUUUUAGUUUGAUCAUGGGAUCUUAUAAACAACACUUGAGUGUAUACUAGAUUGUAUAACAUAUCCAACCCCCAAUAAACAGAGUAUAACUAAUUUCAUUUCCCUAUCAAAAAUAUGUAUCAUAUUUUGACUAUAGAAUCACUAAACUCUUUGCAUGAUACUUGAUAUCCCAUGAUUUUCAUGUUUUUUUGGUAAAAAUAUUAAAUUCAUUACCAGUUUUAAAUUUUUUACAGACAAACAUAGAUGACAAGAA
rnacentral:lncRNA from 1 species